AGAGAGUGUCAGGUAAACUAUAGAGAGUGUCAGGUAAACUUAUAGAGAGUGUCAGCGGAACUAUAGAGAGUGUCAGGUAAACUCUAGAGAGUGCCAGUAAAACUAAUAGAGAGUGUCAGGUAAUACUAUAGAGAGUGUCAGGUAAACUGAUAGAGAGUGCUAGGUUAAAGCCUAUAGAGAGUGUCAGGUAAACUAUAGAGAGUGAACUAUAGAGAGUGUCUAGGGUAACUAUGGAGAGUGUCAGGUAAACUAAGAGAGUGUCAUGGUAAACUAUAGAGAGUGUCAGGUAAACUAUAGAGAGUAAACUAUAGAGAGUGUCAGGUAAACUUAUAGAGAGUGUCAGGUAAACUUAUAGAGAGUGUCAGGUAUAACUAUAGAGAGUGUCGGGCAGGUAAACUAUAGAGAGUGUCAGGUAAACUAUAGAGAGUGUCAGGUAAACUAUAGAGAUUGUCAGGUAAACUAUAGAGAGUGUCAGGUAAACUAUAGAGAGUGCCAGGUAACUUAUAGAGAGUAACUAUAGAGAGUGUCAGGUAAAC
rnacentral:lncRNA from 1 species